rnacentral:rRNA from 1 species
CCCGGGGGGUUUCGAUCUCUAACGAGUCGGACCCUCCAACCGGCCCCACACGUGUCUACCGACCCUGUUGCCUCGGCGGGCCCGCUAUUUAUAAUGGCCGCCGGGGAGGGGAAACCCUCUCUGGUCAGCGCCCGCCGGCGGACAAAAAAACAAAUCUUGAAGUAAAUGCAGUCUGAGUAAUUAAACAAAUUAAUUAAAACUUUCAACAACGGAUCUCUUGGUUCCGACAUCGAUGAAGAACGCAGCGAAAUGCGAUAAGUAAUGUGAAUUGCAGAAUUCCGUGAAUCAUCGAAUCUUUGAACGCACAUUGCGCCCCCUGGCAUUCCGGGGGGCAUGCCUGUUCGAGCGUCAUUACAACCUUCAAGCACGGCUUGUGUGUUGGGCGACUGUCCCCUGUGGACACGCCCCAAAAGCAGUGACGGCAGUCGCGAUCCGGCGCCUGAGUGUAUGGGAAAUCCACCGCUCAUAAGGCCCGGCCGACGGUCUGUCUACCUAUAAUAUUUUAUCUUGUUGACCUCGGAUCAGGUAGGGAUACCCGCUGAACUUAAGCAUA